GUGAACUGGGGGAACCCUGCUCCGCCCUGCCGCGUGAGUGAUGAAGGCCUUCGGGUUGCAAAGCUCUUUUGUGUGGGAAGAUAAUGACUGUACCACAAGAAUAAGCCCCGGCUAACUUCGUGCCAGCAGCCGCGGUAAUACGAAGGGGGCUAGCGUUGUUCGGAAUCACUGGGCGUAAAGGGUGCGUAGGUGGUUAUGUAAGCCAGAAGUGAAAGCCCUGGGCUCAACCCGGGAAUUGCUUUUGAAACUAUGUAGCUAGAGUUCGAGAGAGGUAAGUGGAAUAUCCAGUGUAGAGGUAAAAUUCGUAGAUAUUGGAUGGAACACCAGUGGCGAAGGCGGCUUACUGGCUCGAUACUGACACUGAGGCACGAAA
rnacentral:rRNA from 1 species